AGUUGGCAGAGCAACCGGUGGGACUUUUAAUCGGUAGGUCGCAGGUUCGAAUCCUGCACGGCCCACCA
rnacentral:tRNA from 1 species